GAUCCUGGCUCAGGAUGAACGCUAGCUACAGGCUUAACGCAUGCAAGUCGAGGGGCAGCAUGGUCUUAGCUUGCUAAGGCUGAUGGCGACCGGCGCACGGGUGAGUAACACGUAUCCAACCUGCCGUCUACUCUUGCCAGCCUUCUGAAAGGAAGAUUAAUCCAGGAUGGGAUCAUGAGUUCACAUGUCCGCAUGAUUAAAGGUUUACCGGUGUAAGAUGGGG
rnacentral:rRNA from 1 species